GUUGCUGUGGUCUAAUUGGUUUAAGAUACCUGUCUAUUACUUUGUAAAAUUAAAACAGGAGGUUGAGGUUCGAGUCCUCACGGCACCA
rnacentral:tRNA from 1 species